AUUGAACGCUGGCGGCAUGCCUUACACAUGCAAGUCGAACGGUAACAGGUCUUCUGAUGCUGACGAGUGGCGAACGGGUGAGUAAUACAUCGGAACGUGCCUAGUAGUGGGGGAUAACUACUCGAAAGAGUGGCUAAUACCGCAUGAGAUCUACGGAUGAAAGCAGGGGAUCGCAAGACCUUGUGCUACUAGAGCGGCCGAUGGCAGAUUAGGUAGUUGGUGGGAUAAAAGCUUACCAAGCCGACGAUCUGUAGCUGGUCUGAGAGGACGAUCAGCCCCACUGGGACUGAGACACGGCCCAGACUCAUACGGGAGGCAGCAGUGGGGAAUUUUGGACAAUGGGCGCAAGCCUGAUCCAGCAAUGCCGCGUGCAGGAUGAAGGCCUUCGGGUUGUAAACUGCUUUUGUACGGAACGAAAAGCCCUGGGUUAAUACCCUGGGGUCAUGACGGUACCGUGAGAAUAAGCACCGGCUAACUACGUGCCAGCCGCCGCGGUAAUAC
rnacentral:rRNA from 1 species